UGAAGUGUUUUUAAAAAAGCUUGAAGUCUUGGAACCCUACUCAAAUAGAAAAUUGUAAUUAAUUCUUUGGGGUUUUAUUUUUCAUUAAUAAUUUUGGCAUGACAUACAUCUACAUUUUAAGGAUUAUAUAUUUGAAUUUCCACAUUAGUUGUUUGAUACAAUGUUUCACUGAGUUGACUAAGUAUAUUUUUUGUUUAAUAAAAAAUUUAAGAUUGGUUGGUUUGGUUUUGUUUGGUCCCAUUAUAUUUUUUUGUUGGGUAAUUUAAUGGAGCGGGUGUAUUGUUGAUUUCAUUUGUCCACGACACUAUUGGUGUAUUUUAGUGUUUGUCUUUGAAUAUUCUGAUGAUGAUUGUGGCUAUAUUUUCUUAGUAUGUCGACUAAUUUUUUUUGGUUUUUUUUCCUUUUAGAUAUCAAGAGUGGUGAGAAUGUUGGUGUUUUGUUUUAUAUUUUGCUGGUGGUUCGUUGUCUUUAUUUUGUGGCAACCAUUACGCACUGUUAAGAUUGUAGUAGCUUUGUGUUGGAACACAGUUAUCUUCAUCUAAUUCUAGUCACCCAUUAGUUUUUCUAAAACUGGAUUCAAUAGAUGAAAAGAUUUUUGGAGAAAUUGUUGAGGCAUUCAUGAGGCGUUCUGAAGAAUUUCAUCCUACUAUUUAGCACGAGGCAACUCAAUUACGCGAGAAGGAAACUAGCUUGUAGCUUGGGGUGCAGAGAAAGAAAAGUCGUUUGAAUAGUUUUGGCAGGAGUGGAAGUUGUAGAAGUAGAGUUGGUGGUUUGAAUGGUAUGAUCGGAAAGGGAAAUUGCAUGGAUGGCAGCCUUAAUGUUUGAAUAUCUUAUGUUUGAAGACUCGAAUCCAGUGUGGUCUAACUUGAUUGUGGAGGUUUUUCCCUCAAUUACAAACGCAAGCAAGUUUGGGGAUUUAUUGAAUCGAAACCGUUUGCUGGCACAAUGUUAGGGUCAUGAGCUUGGCAAAGAUAUUCUUGUAACAUUAGACAUGCUUAAUAAUGAAGAAUGACUGGAAGUUGAAUCUACUCUAGUGUUGGGAAUGGAAGGAGAGAAGCAAUGAUGAUGCUGUUAGGGUGAUAGUAUUAGAUAGAAAUAGUAGUGGCAAUGAUCAAGUAAUAAUAUUGCAUUUUCAUGAUGAGAGAAUGUUGUAUCCUGAGCUUGGUGGAUGUCAUUUGAUUCAGAAUUGUUUGACCUUGUACAACACGAACAUGGUUAUUAAUUAUUAUUUUAUCCUUAAAAAAUAA